rnacentral:rRNA from 1 species
AACGAACGCUGGCGGCAUGCCUAACACAUGCAAGUCGAACGAGACCUUCGGGUCUAGUGGCGCACGGGUGCGUAACGCGUGGGAACCUUCCCUUAGGUUCGGAAUAACUCCCCUACAUGGGUGCUAAUAUCGGAUAAUUUCCUCUGACCAAAGAUUUAUCGCCUUUGGAUGGGCCCGCGUUGGAUUAGCUAGUUGGUAGGGUAAAAGCCUACCACGGCGACGAUCCAUAGCUGGUCUGAGAGGAUGAUCAGCCACACUGGGACUGAGACACGGCCCAGAAUCCUACGGGAGGCAGCAGUGGGGAAUAUUGGACAAUGGGCGAAAGCCUGAUCCAGCAAUGCCGCGUGAGUGAUGAAGGCCUUAGGGUUGUAAAGCUCUUUUACCCGGGAUGAUAAUGACAGUACCGGGAGAAUAAGCUCCGGCUAACUCCGUG